rnacentral:rRNA from 1 species
AACGAACGCUGGCGGCAGGCCUAACACAUGCAAGUCGAGCGCCCUGCAAGGGGAGCGGCAGACGGGUGAGUAACGCGUGGGAAUCUACCCAUCCCUACGGAAUAACGCAUGGAAACGUGUGCUAAUACCGUAUACGUCAUUCGGGCGAAAGAUUUAUCGGAGAUGGAUGAGCCCGCGUUGGAUUAGCUAGUUGGUGGGGUAAAGGCCUACCAAGGCGACGAUCCAUACCUGGUCUGAGAGGAUGAUCAGCCACACUGGGACUGAGACACGGCCCAGACUCGUACGGGAGGCAGCAGUGGGAAAUAUUGGACAAUGGGCGCAAGCCUGAUCCAGCCAUGCCGCGUGAGUGGUGAAGGCCCUAGGGUUGUAAAGCUCUUUCACCGGUGAAGAUAAUGUCGGUAACCGGAGAAGAAGCCCCGGCUAACUUCGUGCCAGCAGCCGCCGUAAUAC